CCUACGGGAGGCAGCAGUAGGGAAUCUUUCACAAUGGGCGAAAGCCUGAUGGAGCAACGCCGCGUGCAGGAUGAAGGCCUUCGGGUUGUAAACUGCUUUUAUAAGCGAGAAAUAUGAUGGUAACUUAUGAAUAAGGAUCGGCUAACUACGUGCCAGCAGCCGCGGUCAUACGUAGGAUCCGAGCAUUAUCCGGAGUGACUGGGUGUAAAGAGUUGCGUAGGUGGCAUAAUAAGUAGCUAGUGAAAUCUGGUGGCUCAACCAUUCAGACUAUUAGCUAAACUGGUAAGCUCGAGACCGUUAGGGGUAACUGGAAUUUCUAGUGUAGGAGUGAAAUCCGUAGAUAUUAGAAGGAACACCAAUAGCGUAGGCAGGUUGCUGGGACGGUUCUGACACUAAGGCACGAAAGCGUAGGGAGCAAACGGGAUUAGAUACCCGUGUAGUC
rnacentral:rRNA from 1 species